rnacentral:lncRNA from 1 species
GCUUUUUUAAUUUUCAUAGUGAAUACUCUGAUUUUUAUAGUUUACUCACAAAGAAUAAUUUACAGUUUGCUAAAUAUUAGCAGAUAUCAAAUUUAUUAUAGACUUUCUUAUAUGCCACAACACCAGUGAUUAUGUGGUAUAUAUUAAGUGGCAGAGGCAUUUCAGAAUCCACAAAAGCUAUCCAUAUCUAUUAUGGGGUUGGCCAACAAGUGAAAAAAUGGAAAUUGAGAUGUCAGGUAGUUCUAGAUUUCUCUGAAAAAAAAAAAAUUAGGUGUGGGCUUGGAUUCAGUCACAAAUCUAUGUGGAUGUCUAAAAUACUUCCAUUUGACAAGCUGGCUGACUGAUUAAACUUUCAUUAAAAAAUGCAUUUGAUUGUGUU